rnacentral:rRNA from 1 species
CCUACUGGAGACUUCAUUGGGGCAUCUUGGGCAAUGGGCGCAAGCCUGACCCAUCAACGCCGCGUGAAGUCCUCCUUCUUUCUUUUUUUCCCCUUCUUUUCCCUUUUCCUCUCAGAAGACGGUACCCUGAAAACAAGCCACGGCUAACUACGUGCCAGCAGCCGCGGUAAUACGUAGGUGGCAAGCGUUGUCCGGAUUUACUGGGUGUAAAGGGCGUGUAGCCGGGAAGGCAAGUCAGAUGUGAAAUCCGGAGGCUCAACCUCCGAAUUGCAUUUGAAACUGUUUUUCUUGAGUACUGGAGAGGCAGACGGAAUUCCUUGUGUAGCGGUGAAAUGCGUAGAUAUAAGGAGGAACACCAGUGGCGAAGGCGGUCUGCUGGACAGCAACUGACGGUGAGGCGCGAAAGCGUGGGGAGCAAACAGGAUUAGAGAACAUAGUAGUC